GGGCCCGCACAAGCGGUGGAGUAUGUGGUUUAAUUCGAUGCAACGCGAAGAACCUUACCAGGGUUUGACAUCCUGCGAAUCUUUUGGAAACGAGAGAGUGCCUUCGGGAACGCAGUGACAGGUGGUGCAUGGCUGUCGUCAGCUCGUGUCGUGAGAUGUUCGGUUAAGUCCGGCAACGAGCGCAACCCACAUCCCUAGUUGCCAGCAGUUCGGCUGGGCACUCUAUGGAAACUGCCCGUGAUAAGCGGGAGGAAGGUGUGGAUGACGUCAAGUCCUCAUGGCCCUUACGGGUUGGGCUACACACGUGCUACAAUGGUAAGGACAAAGGGC
rnacentral:rRNA from 1 species